GUCAAUAUCGACGUCAUCAACACCAAAGUUGAUCGUGUUUAUGACGUCGAAUAUCGACGUCAUAAACACCAAAGUUGAUCGUGUCGAAUAUCGACGUCAUAAACACCAAAGUUGAUCGUGUUUAAUAUCGACGUCAUAAACACCAAAGUUGAUCGUGUUUAAUAUCGACGUCAUAAACACCAAAGUUGUAUCGUGUUUAUGACGUCGAAUAUCGACAUCAUAAACACCAAAAAUUGUAUCGUGUUUAUGACGUCGUAUAUCGACGUCAUAAACACCAAAGUUGAUCGUGUUGAUGACGUCGAAUAUCGAC